rnacentral:rRNA from 1 species
UACGGAGGGAGCUAGCGUUAUUCGGAAUUACUGGGCGUAAAGCGCACGUAGGCGGCUUUGUAAGUUAGAGGUGAAAGCCCGGGGCUCAACUCCGGAACUGCCUUUAAGACUGCAUCGCUUGAAUCAUGGAGAGGUCAGUGGAAUUCCGAGUGUAGAGGUGAAAUUCGUAGAUAUUCGGAAGAACACCAGUGGCGAAGGCGACUGACUGGACAUGUAUUGACGCUGAGGUGCGAAAGUGUGGGGAGCGAACAGG